rnacentral:tRNA from 1 species
GUCCUCGUAGCUUAUACCAAAGCAUGACACUGAAGAUGUCAAGAUGGAUGUCAAACACACCCAAGGACA